UCGCUCGCACUCCCACAGAACUGUGAGCAGAGCCCAAGCCCUUUCCCAGCACACGGGGUUCAUUUCCAGACUUUGAAAGAUAUCCCGGAGACAACUCCAGAGGCCAAGGCGGGUCGGCUUCCUGCGUGGGCCCAGUGCUGAGCACUGAAAGGUGAAGGCGCUUCUUCCCGCUCGGAGGAAAGCCUCCGGCGGUUCGCGCUUCGCGGGCUGGGGAUGGAAACGCGCGUAGGGCUGGGGAGGUGACGCGCGGACAACGCAGGGGCGAGCAAACUACAAUUCCCAGGCAGCUGUGCGCCACGCGCGCGGCCGACUGUCGGGCGUGACCGCGAGGGGCAGCCUAUAUAAGCUCUUGCACGCAGCUGCGGCGCCCUUUUUCCCCGCCGCAACCUUGUUGCGGGCUUACCAUAUUUAAGGCUCUUCUUACCUCCCUGCAAGCCAUAGCCCGCUAGUUGCUGCUACCAGCCCGCACUCGCCGGGGCUUUCUCCCAAGGCCUCGAUAUGGUGGUGAACGUGGCACGGAGGAGUCGGACCUUCCUUCCCAGUGGGCCCGAGUUCCAGAAGGGACCCUCGGUCUUGAGAGGGGUUGGAUCCCGCUGGGGCCGCGCCCUUCUCUCGCUUCGGCCUGCGCAACUCUGCGCUCUGGGCUGACAGGCGGAUAAAAAGAUCCCAUCAAGAUUGAGAAAAAGCACACCAAAUAUUGGCACAGCGUGGGCAGUGGGGCCUACAGGAUGACUGAUUUAGUCAACAGAGAUUCCGGCGCACUUCAGCAGGUAGUAAUGAUGGACAGGUGAGGCUUUAGGUGGCUGCCCUGGGAUCUGAAUUGCCCCUUGGCCCUUAUCGAAGCUGCAGCUGCUUCCGCAUAGCUGCUGUGGUCAAAAAGGAGCCCAGAGUGACAGUUUUCCUUGACGGUCGCCGUUCUGUUUGUUGUAACUGAUCUGCAACAUUUUGGGAAAAUACAGUUUCAUUAUACUUGCUAUCUUUCAGCUGUAGCCAGAGACCUUUAUCAAAAUGGGCCUGUUUUCACAGACCAGCAGAACGGUUGGGGGUUUGCAUGUACAGUUAACCAGCAUAAGAUUCCCGUACUGGGAAAAUCCAGCUGGGAUGUGACACAGCUUAACUGAUAGCAUCAGUAUUCGGACCAAAGGCUGGUUAGAUUUGUAUCGUUCUGAGGACCAAAUGAUGGGACCAAUAAAAUUGUUCUUGACAGUUGUUCUCAUUUUGCUGUCCAGAUGAAGACUCUGAGAUGACAGAAGGUGAUCUGUCUGGUGAUCGAGGACUCCCGGGGUCACAUCAGUGAUGAAAUGCAGGGGACCUGGUUGCCCCCAAGUUUCCUGGCCGUGUGUGAUCCUGAGGAGGUGAGCUUGUUUCUGGAGCUGUGCUUUAAGAUUCAUGUUACAUGCAAAGCUGUCCUCGUGUGACUGGACCUAUGGAGUUGGGAGAAUCUCUAUGGGAAGCAAAAGGCAAGACCCCGGUCAUUUUAGGCAGAAACAACAGCAUGCU